CUACCAUGCAGUCGACGCGAAAGUGGAGCAAUCCAUGAGUAGAGUGGCAAACGGGUGAGUAACACGUGGGUGACCUGCCUUCGAGUGGGGGAUAACCUUCCGAAAGGAGGGCUAAUACCGCAUGACAUCCCAUGUUUGGAUACAUGGAGAUCAAAGCCGGGGAUCGUAAGACCUGGCGCUUGAAGAGGGGCCCGCGUCCGAUUAGCUAGUUGGUGGGGUAAUGGCUCACCAAGGCUCCGAUCGGUAUCCGGCCUGAGAGGGCGGACGGACACACUGGAACUGAGACACGGUCCAGACUCCUACGGGAGGCAGCAGUGGGGAAUUGUUCGCAAUGGGCGCAAGCCUGACGACGCAACGCCGCGUGGAGGAUGAAGAAUUUCGGUUCGUAAACUCCUUUCGAUCGAGAUGAACAUCCUUCGGCCUAAUACGCCGGAGGACUGACAGUAUCGAGAGAAGAAGCCCCGGCUAACUCUGUGCCAGCAGCCGCGGUAAUACAGAGGGGGCAAGCGUUGUUCGGAAUUACUGGGCGUAAAGGGUUCGUAGGUGGCCGAUUUAGUCAGACGUGAAAUCCCUCAGCUCAACUGGGGAACUGCGUCUGAUACUGAUUGGCUUGAGUGCANGAGAGGAACGCGGAAUUCCAGGUGUAGCGGUGAAAUGCGUAGAUAUCUGGAGGAACACCGGUGGCGAAGGCGGCGUUCUGGACUGUAACUGACACUGAGGAACGAAAGCCAGGGGAGCAAACGGGAUUAGAUACCCCGGUAGU
rnacentral:rRNA from 1 species